rnacentral:lncRNA from 1 species
GCUCCACCGCCCGCUCGACGCAUGGGGAAGACUCCCUUCCCCGACCAGAGCCCGCCCCGCGCUGACAGAAGCGGGCGCACAGCGUGCACGCGGUGUGCCACACCCCGCCUGUGGCGCCCGAGAGCCCCCAGACUCCUCCCGGGGACCGCUUCUCCAGGCAGGGCCGCAGGACGAGGGGGGCGAGGCGGCGGGGCAAGGACCCCGGCGACUGUGUGGGGGAUGGCAAUGGUCAGAGUGCUCAGGAGGGUCGUGCUUCCGUGCAGGGGGCCGACGUGUGUCCAAACCCACUCGUCGGAACUCUGCAGGUGGAGGCGGGUCCCCACCUCCCUUGGCCCUCUGAGUGUUCUCCAAGCCGGCUGGGAAAACCCUCACCCGGCCGCAGGACAGGAGGGAGCGUGGGAGGCGCUCGGCGGCAGUCAGAGCCCUGGGGUCCUUUCUGCCCACACGCGCUGCCACGCGCACAGGUGGUGGUAGUGUGGGGAUGCCGGUCCCGGGGGCGGCACUGAAGCAGAGGGAGAGGGGGGCCCACCGCCGUGGUGGGAAGCCCUGGGGAUGAGCGGAGGCCCACGGGGCUGGCGGUGCGUGGGGGCGGGGAGCUGGGCACGCGGGUCAGGAGGUGGCCAUGGGUGAGGGCCUGGCCGCAGGCCUCGCGGUUGCGGGCAGCCCCUCCCCUCCCCUCCUCUCCCCCAGCCCCGCGGUUGGAGACAGCGACCCGCCCAGGCCCCGCCCCUGGUCACGCCCCCAGCCCGCCAGCCCGCCGUUGCCUGGUAACGCCUGGCUGUCAUUUCCCUCUUAGCCUGGCGCAGCCACCGGGGCCCUGACACUUGGCGGGAGUGUCCCACAGCAGGGGCACGCGCCCCAGGGAUGGGAGUGGUGGCCCCAGGCAGCCAGCACGGGCGCCAGGGUCGCCGGCAGGACAGGAGAAGGCGCAGGUCCCUGCUCCCGGGGGGGGGGCCCGGGCGGUGGAGACCCCGACGGGUGCACGGAGGGAGGCGGCCGCCCGGGGCCCUCACCUGCCCAUGCUCUGGUGGGCCCGCGGCCUCCCGCAGUGCAACGGCCACUUCCUGGCGGCGGCGGCGGGUCCCCAGGCCUGCGGGGCCAGCCGCGCCGCCCCCGCGCCCCGCGCCCCGCGCCCCGCGCCGGGGCAGGAGCGCACGGCAGGCCCAGGGCGCGGCGCGCAGCCGGGCCUUGGCCGCCGGCCCCGAGUCGGGCCCGGGGACGACGUUCCGCCGGGCUCAGCGGGGCUGGGGCCGCGCGCUCCACGAGCACCUCUGGGUCCUUCCCCGCUCCACCGCCCGCUCGACGCAUGGGAAGACUCCCUUCCCCGACCAGAGCCCGCCCCGCGCUGACAGAAGCGGCGACAGCGUGCACGCGGUGUGCCACACCCCGCCUGUGGCGCCCGAGAGCCCCCAGACUCCUCCGGGGACCGCUUCUCCAGGCAGGCCGCAGGACGAGGGGGGCGAGGCGGCGGGGCAAGGACCCCGGCGACUGUGUGGGGGAUGGCAAUGGUCAGGGUGCUCAGGAGGGUCGUGCUUCCGCGCAGGGGGCCGACGUGUGUCCAAACCCACUCGUCGGAAUUCUGCAGGUGGAGGCGGGUCCCCACCUACCUUGGCCCUCCGAGUGUCUCAAGCCGGCUGGGAAUAG